rfam:Populus trichocarpa scaffold_8_contig_32, whole genome shotgun sequence.
CUUUUUAGGGUUAAACGUUAACAUUUUUGACAAGUCUCCAAUUUUUAGGGACUGAUGUUAUUUUUUGACGUGUCCUAUUUUUAGGAACC